rnacentral:misc_RNA from 1 species
UGGUUUCUUCUUUUGCGGUUCUGGGUGAGUUAUAUGAUCAUAUUUCCUAUAUUCUAGUCCAUUUAAUAAUAAAAGAACCACUCAUUCAAAACCCUCUUUCCCUUUCUCAGUCUACACAUGUAUGCACGUAUACAUGCUUGUAUGUGUAAUUUAAGUUGCUUAAUGCUGAACAUCAUGUGUCCAAUAUAAAGAAAUACCUUAUGUUUUCCCCCUUAAGUAAAGAGGAAUAUCUUCUAUUGCAUACUUUGAAGUGACAUCUUGAUUUCCCCUCGCAACCACGCCCCCAAACCCCCCCACUCCCCCUCCCCCUCUUCCCCCAGUUUCUACAUUUGUCCCCUUGUUUGACUGACUUGACUGACAUUGUUUUCUCCAUCUAAAAUACCUUUUUUUUGCUAUUCUCUUUUUGCACAUAGCUUAGAGUUGACGGAGUCUUGA